UACAGAGGGUGCGAGCGUUAAUCGGAAUUACUGGGCGUAAAGCGCACGUAGGCGGAUCGAUCAGUCAGGGGUGAAAUCCCAGGGCUCAACCCUGGAACUGCCUUUGAUACUGUCGAUCUGGAGUAUGGAAGAGGUGAGUGGAAUUCCGAGUGUAGAGGUGAAAUUCGUAGAUAUUCGGAGGAACACCAGUGGCGAAGGCGGCUCACUGGUCCAUUACUGACGCUGAGGUGCGAAAGCGUGGGGAGCAAACAGG
rnacentral:rRNA from 1 species